AUUUUUAUUGCUCAUAUGCUUAACUAGGUACGUCUAAUGAGGAAGUUGCUUUGUGGAAAGAGGGAGUUUGGCUGGGAGGCGUGGUUAUGCUGGAGAAAGCUGAUAAGAAAAAACUACCAAUAUGAAACAAAAACAAACGCACAAGUUGACUCUGAUAGGGCCUAAACUCAGGACAUGCAAUGGUGGAAGCCUCUCAGACCCGGCUCUCCACGAGGUUUAGCCACAAAAAGCAGAUUAGAGCAGAUUUGAACAAGUUUUGCAUAGAACGGUCCAGGUUCAUAUUUAGAAACGUUCUACGUCUGAUCCUCAAGAGUAGCCUUUGCUCAGUCUCCAUUUCUCAUGGAGGGAUUUUCAGGAUAUUUCAGAGAAUUUCUGGGUACACACGAACAAUAGAAGUAACAUCCCUUUACACCCUGUUCUAAAUUAUGCAAAUUAUAUUUUUCUCAUUUACCUAAAUA